rnacentral:ncRNA from 1 species
CCAUCAGGUUGCUUUGAGCAGCUUGAUGUUUUCUCCUCUAUUUCUCCUUUGUAGACUUGGCGCAUACCCUCACGGAUAUGCGCAUUUUU